rnacentral:rRNA from 1 species
AUACGAUGAAGAGUUUGAUCCUGGCUCAGGAUGAACGCUAGCGGCAGGCCUAACACAUGCAAGUCGAGGGGUAGACAUCUUCGGAUGUUGAGACCGGCGCACGGGUGCGUAACGCGUAUGCAAUCUACCUUAUACUAAGGGAUAGCCCAGAGAAAUUUGGAUUAAUACCUUAUAGUUAAUU